CCUACGGGGGGCAGCAGUGGGGAAUAUUGCACAAUGGGCGCAAGCCUGAUGCAGCCAUGCCGCGUGUGUGAAGAAGGCCUUCGGGUUGUAAAGCACUUUCAGCGGGGAGGAAGGCGUUAAGGUUAAUAACCUUGGCGAUUGACGUUACCCGCAGAAGAAGCACCGGCUAACUCCGUGCCAGCAGCCGCGGUAAUACGGAGGGUGCAAGCGUUAAUCGGAAUUACUGGGCGUAAAGCGCACGCAGGCGGUCUGUCAAGUCGGAUGUGAAAUCCCCGGGCUCAACCUGGGAACUGCAUUCGAAACUGGCAGGCUAGAGUAUUGUAGAGGGGGGUAGAAUUCCAGGUGUAGCGGUGAAAUGCGUAGAGAUCUGGAGGAAUACCGGUGGCGAAGGCGGCCCCCUGGACAAAGACUGACGCUCAGGUGCGAAAGCGUGGGGAGCAAACAGGAUUAGAUACCCGUGUAGUC
rnacentral:rRNA from 1 species